CCUACGGGUGGCAGCAGUGAGGAAUAUUGGUCAAUGGGCGCGAGCCUGAACCAGCCAAGUAGCGUGAAGGAUGAAUGCCCUACGGGUUGUAAACUUCUUUUAUAAAGGACUAAAGUGAGGCACGUGUGCCUUUUUGUAUGUACUUUAUGAAUAAGGAUCGUCUAACUCCGUGCCAGCAGCCGCGGUAAUACGGAGGAUCCGAGCGUUUUCCGGAUUUAUUGGGUUUAAAGGGAGCGUAGAUGGGAUGUUAAGUCAGUUGUGAAAGUUUGCGGCUAAACCGUAAAAUUGCAAUUGAUACUGGAAGUCGUGAGUACAGUGGAGGUAGGCGGAAUUCGUGGUGUAGCGGUGAAAUGCUUAGAUAUCACGAAGAACUCCGAUGGCGAAGGCAGCUUACUAAACUGCCACUGACAUUGAUGCUCGAAAGUGUGGGUAUCAAACAGGAUUAGAUACCCGAGUAGUC
rnacentral:rRNA from 1 species